UUGAGCGCUGGCGGCAGGCUUAACACAUGCAAGUCGAGCGGUAACAGAUCCAGCUUGCUGGAUGCUGACGAGCGGCGGACGGGUGAGUAAUGCAUAGGAAACUGCCCAGUAGUGGGGGAUAGCCCGGGGAAACCCGGAUUAAUACCGCAUACGUCCUACGGGAGAAAGCAGGGGCUCUUCGGACCUUGCGCUAUUGGAUGUGCCUAUGUCGGAUUAGCUAGUUGGUGGGGUAAAGGCCUACCAAGGCGACGAUCCGUAGCUGGUCUGAGAGGAUGAUCAGCCACAUCGGGACUGAGACACGGCCCGAACUCCUACGGGAGGCAGCAGUGGGGAAUAUUGGACAAUGGGGGCAACCCUGAUCCAGCCAUGCCGCGUGUGUGAAGAAGGCUUUCGGGUUGUAAAGCACUUUCAGUGAGGAGGAAAACCUUAUGGUUAAUACCCAUGAGGCUUGACGUUACUCACAGAAGAAGCACCGGCUAACUCCGUGCCAGCCGCCGCGGUAAUAC
rnacentral:rRNA from 1 species